CAUCUGGCAGCCCUGCAUUCUGUUUCUAAUGCGCACAGGAAACAUGCAGAGAUGAAGAACGGUGAAAAGCGCCACAGGAUUUCGUAUCCAAAGUACAAGGCGGGACACCAUGUCGUGAAACCUGUUAAAGAGGCCUGCAAUUAUGAUUAUGUCACAGAGCUAAUAGUUGAAUUGCUGCAAUUAAAACAACAGUUCAAGAGCAUCCGGAUUGCUAAGCAGGCAUCUUCUUCCAUUCUGUUCUCUCCACCACCAUAAGCAUCAUCUGCGAAGAAAAUUUUAAAGAAUGAAGCAGUGCAGUUGCACCGCUCUAGGUUUAAUUAAUUACAGUAAUUGGAAACAACUUGGCAUGCCAUUUGUCAUGUAUUUCUCCAGCUGGGUUUAGUGUACGUGCGUAAGGUGUCAUCCCAGAUUAGCCUGUGCCAUAUAUGUUUGUAAUUAAUUUAAAAAAUCCUCGCGCUGGAAAGAUGGGGCAAAGCGUGCGCAAAAUAUCUCGUCCCAUAUUAGCCUGUGUCCCUGAUAAGACUGUGCAGACUCGACGUGAAAACAUGAUAUGCCCCAAGUUUUAUAUGACAAUGUCUACGAAUGUGCCCUUUUGACAAAUUAGAACCUAGCUGAAGCACUGAUCACGUAUUGUUUCAAAUUAACAUAGCAACUACAAUGAUUUUUUUUUUUAAAUGUGAAUGUAUUAUUUUGACAAAUAUGCUGUAAUAAUACUUUUCCCAUUGUGUGCUAUACUGUUAGUAUAAAAAUGUUAAUGUCAACACCUUUAUUUUUAAAUGUUGGGACCAUGUAGUGUUUUUUGUGUGUUAGUAUUGGUCUGUAAAAGAUGUUUUAAAAGUCAUUUUGUUAAAGGUACUUAAUUUGACUCCAUAACAAGUUGCAUUGCAACAUUGUGCUAGUAAAGCUCAUUUACUUAUUCCGUCCAGUUUUCUAAAACUUGUCGUCAGGUUACAAGUUGUUCUGUUGUUGUGUCUGUGGUAAUUUAUAUUUUUAGAUGUUGCAAUAAACUUGUAUGCUACAUAUAUAUUGUUGUGUUGGAAUGUUUUCUCCAUUUCAAAAACAUCGAGAGUAAAAAUUUGACAUGCUAUUUCUCAUUAAUAAUAUUAAGUCACCUCGCUCGUGGAGAGUUUAGAAAAAUUCAAUUGCGUCAUAUUUAUAUAAAAUCAAGACUAAUUAUUAAAAAAUAUUUAUAAAAAAACAACAGAAAUGAGAUCAUCCAAACUUUGAAGUGAAUGUCGACAUAAAUGAGAUCAAUUUACCAUAAAUAAAAAAUCGUGUGCAGGAAACACAUCGGGUUCCAACAAAAUGGCCAUGUCAUACUAGCAAAAGAAAUAAAACAUCUAUUCUCGGUCAUUUAGUAUUAAAUGACGCGACCAUUUACGUAAGAAUUAUUCAUUUCAAAUCAACAUUAUUUAUUUCAACUAGUACGUUGUUGAAGUGUUGAACUUGAACGGUUAGUAAAUUUGGACUGGCAUUCGUACGUCGAUCAGUUUCAGGGAAUAAUUAUAUCUUUUCAAUGUGUCAUUGGUAUUGUCCUGACUGUAGGAAACUUCAGCAAUUCAGUCGGUGCGGCAAGAAAAGGAAAUGUACAGUGUAAAAUAAUUGUAUAGAAACUGUUGCUUGAAAAGAAGCUUAUGUGAUUUUUAUUUAAUGAUGCCUAAAAUGUUGCAAGUUCCAAACAUUGUUAAUAUUUAAAGUUUACUGAAAGUGUAAAUUUGUAAAAAAUAUUUUGCUAUGUUUUAAUAUAGCAAAUGUGAAAUAUGUACACUGCAUAUUUAUAUUCUUGGGAGUUAAGCAGCAAUGAGCAGAUUGUAACAGUAUAUUUUUAUUUGAAUUCAUUGGUUUGUUGUUUCAAAGUUGUUUGUGUCGCAUUAAAUCUUAUUAAUUGAUACCAGGUUUUGAAUUCUAAUGUGUUGCGUUCUGAGAAAACUGGGCAUAAUGCAUGUGCGUAAAGUGUCGUCCCAGAUUAGCCUGUGCAGUCAGCACCAGCAAAUCAGAGACAACACUUUCCGCCAAUAUUGGAUUUUUGCUGAGACUAUUUAAACGAAAAAUGUCAAAAGCGAAAGUGUUGUCCCUGAUUAGCCUGUGUGGACUGCACAGGCUAAUCUGGGAUGACACUUUACGCACAUGCAUUAUGCGACUCGUAUAUAGUAAAUCAUGGUACAUUUGUACAUAAACAAGUAAAUGUUUGUAUAAAAUUCAUAACAAUUAAGUACGCUUUAUGUUCAUAGUUUAUAAUUUUAUUUGACCAGGUUUUGUGUAAUUAUUUCAUAAGCAAACAAUAAUGAACAUCCCAUUAUACUGCCAGUUCUUCGCAAACAAUAAUAAACAUGCACUUAUUUUA